CGGCGUGCCAGGCGCAGGGCUGGGAGGCGCAGGCGACGGCGGGGGCACACCCGGUCCGGGGCUGGGCGGCUCCGGCGAAGGCGGCGGCGUGCCAGGCGCAGGGCUGGGAGGCGCAGGCGACGGCGGGGGCACACCCGGCGCGGGGCUGGGCGGCUCCGGCGAAGGCGGCGGCGUGCCAGGCGCAGGGCUGGGAGGCGCAGGCGACGGCGGGGGCACACCCGGCGCGGGGCUGGGCGGCUCCGGCGAAGGCGGCGGCGUGCCAGGCGCAGGGCUGGGAGGCGCAGGCGACGGCGGGGGCACACCCGGCGCGGGGCUGGGCGGCUCCGGCGAAGGCGGUGGCGUGCCAGGCGCAGGGCUGGGAGGCGCAGGCGACGGCGGGGGCACACCCGGCGCGGGGCUAGGCGGCUCUGGCGAAGGCGGCGGCGUACCAGGCGCAGGGCUGGGAGGCGCAGGCGACGGCGGGGGCACACCCGGACCGGGGCUGGGCGGCUCCGGCGAAGGUGGCGGCGUGCCAGGCGCGGGGCUGGGAGGCGCAGGCGACGGCGGGGGCACACCCGGCGCGGGGCUGGGCGGCUCCGGCGAAGGCGGCGCAGGGCUGGGAGGCGCAGGGCUGGGCGGCUCCGGCGAAGGCGGCGGCGUGCCAGGCGCAGGGCUGGGAGGCGAAGGCGAAGGCGGGGGCACACCCGGCGCGGGGCUGGGCGGCUCCGGCGAAGGCGGCGGCGUGCCAGGCGCAGGGCUGGGAGGCGCAGGCGACGGCGGGGGCACACCCGGCGCGGGGCUGGGCGGCUCCGGCGAAGGUGGCGGCGUGCCAGGCGCAGGGCUGGGAGGCGCAGGCGACGGCGGGGGUACACCCGGACCGGGGCUGGGCGGCUCCGGCGAAGGCGGCGGCGUGCCAGGCGCAGGGCUGGGAGGCGCAGGCGACGGCGGGGGCACACCCGGCGCGGGGCUGGGCGGCUCCGGCGAAGGUGGCGGCGUGCCAGGCGCAGGGCUGGGAGGCGCAGGCGACGGCGGGGGCACACCCGGCGCGGGGCUGGGCGGCUCCGGCGAAGGCGGCGGCGUGCCAGGCGCAGGGCUGGGAGGCGCAGGCGACGGCGGGGGCACGCCCGGCGCGGGGCUGGGCGGCUCCGGCGAAGGCGGCGGCGUGCCAGGCGCAGGGCUGGGAGGCGCAGGCGACGGCGGGGGCACGCCCGGACCGGGGCUGGGCGGCUCCGGCGAAGGCGGCGGCGUGCCAGGCGCAGGGCUGGGAGGCGCAGGCGACGGCGGGGGCACACCCGGCGCGGGGCUGGGCGGCUCCGGCGAAGGCGGCGGAGUACCAGGCGCAGGGCUGGGAGGGGCAGGCGACGGCGGGGGCACACCCGGCGCGGGGCUGGGCGGCUCCGGCGAAGGCGGCGGCGUGCCAGGCGCAGGGCUGGGAGGCGCAGGGCGACGGCGGGGGCACACCCGGCGCGGGGCUGGGCGGCUCCGGCGAAGGCGGCGGCGUGCCAGGCGCAGGGCUGGGAGGCGCAGGCGACGGCGGGGGCACACCCGGCGCGGGGCUGGGCGGCUCCGGCGAAGGUGGCGGCGUGCCAGGCGCAGGGCUGGGAGGCGCAGGCGACGGCGGGGGCACACCCGGACCGGGGCUGGGCGGCUCCGGCGAAGGCGGCGGCGUGCCAGGCGCAGGGCUGGGAGGCGCAGGCGACGGCGGGGGCACACCCGGCGCGGGGCUGGGCGGCUCCGGCGAAGGCGGCGGCGUGCCAGGCGCAGGGCUGGGAGGUGCAGGCGACGGCGGGGGCACACCCGGCGCGGGGCUGGGCGGCUCCGGCGAAGGCGGUGGCGUGCCAGGCGCAGGGCUGGGAGGCGCAGGCGACGGCGGGGGCACACCCGGCGCGGGGCUAGGCGGCUCUGGCGAAGGCGGCGCAGGGCUGGGAGGCGCAGGGCUGGGAGGCGCAGGCGACGGCGGGGGCACACCCGGUGCGGGGCUGGGCGGCUCCGGCGAAGGCGGCGGAGUACCAGGCGCAGGGCUGGGAGGCGCAGGCGACGGCGGGGGCACGCCCGGACCGGGGCUGGGCGGCUCCGGCGAAGGUGGCGGCGCACCAGGCGCGGGGCUGGGAGGCGCAGGCGACGGCGGGGGCACGCCCGGCGCGGGGCUGGGCGGCUCCGGCGAAGGAGGCGGCGUGCCAGGCGCAGGGCUGGGAGGCGCAGGCGACGGCGGGGGCACACCCGGUCCGGGGCUGGGCGGCUCCGGCGAAGGCGGCGGCGUGCCAGGCGCAGGGCUGGGAGGCGCAGGCGACGGCGGGGGCACACCCGGCGCGGGGCUGGGCGGCUCCGGCGAAGGCGGCGGCGUGCCAGGCGCAGGGCUGGGAGGCGCAGGCGACGGCGGGGGCACACCCGGCGCGGGGCUGGGCGGCUCCGGCGAAGGCGGCGGCGUGCCAGGCGCAGGGCUGGGAGGCGCAGGCGACGGCGGGGGCACACCCGGCGCGGGGCUGGGCGGCUCCGGCGAAGGCGGUGGCGUGCCAGGCGCAGGGCUGGGAGGCGCAGGCGACGGCGGGGGCACACCCGGCGCGGGGCUAGGCGGCUCUGGCGAAGGCGGCGGCGUACCAGGCGCAGGGCUGGGAGGCGCAGGCGACGGCGGGGGCACACCCGGACCGGGGCUGGGCGGCUCCGGCGAAGGUGGCGGCGUGCCAGGCGCGGGGCUGGGAGGCGCAGGCGACGGCGGGGGCACACCCGGCGCGGGGCUGGGCGGCUCCGGCGAAGGCGGCGCAGGGCUGGGAGGCGCAGGGCUGGGAGGCGCAGGCGACGGCGGGGGCACACCCGGCGCAGGGCUGGGCGGCUCCGGCGAAGGCGGUGGCGUGCCAGGCGCAGGGCUGGGAGGCGCAGGCGACGGCGGGGGCACACCCGGCGCGGGGCUAGGCGGCUCUGGCGAAGGCGGCGCAGGGCUGGGAGGCGCAGGGCUGGGAGGCGCAGGCGACGGCGGGGGCACACCAGGUCCGGGGCUGGGCGGCUCCGGCGAAGGCGGCGGCGUGCCAGGCGCAGGGCUGGGAGGCGCAGGCGACGGAGGGGGCACACCCGGCGCGGGGCUGGGCGGCUCCGGCGAAGGCGGCGGCGUGCCAGGCGCAGGGCUGGGAGGCGCAGGCGACGGAGGGGGCACACCCGGCGCGGGGCUGGGCGGCUCCGGCGAAGGCGGCGGCGUGCCAGGCGCAGGGCUGGGAGGCGCAGGCGACGGCGGGGGCACACCCGGACCGGGGCUGGGCGGCUCCGGCGAAGGCGGCGGCGUGCCAGGCGCAGGGCUGGGAGGCGCAGGCGACGGCGGGGGCACACCCGGCGCGGGGCUAGGCGGCUCUGGCGAAGGCGGCGCAGGGCUGGGAGGCGCAGGGCUGGGAGGCGCAGGCGACGGCGGGGGCACACCCGGCGCGGGGCUGGGCGGCUCCGGCGAAGGAGGCGGCGUGCCAGGCGCAGGGCUGGGAGGCGCAGGCGACGGAGGGGGCACACCCGGCGCGGGGCUGGGCGGCUCCGGCGAAGGCGGCGGCGCGCCAGGCGCAGGGCUAGGAGGCGCAGGCGACGGCGGGGGCACACCCGGCGCAGGGCUGGGCGGCUCUGGCGAAGGAGGCGGCGUGCCAGGCGCAGGGCUGGGAGGCGCAGGCGACGGAGGGGGCACACCCGGCGCGGGGCUGGGCGGCUCCGGCGAAGGCGGCGGCGCGCCAGGCGCAGGGCUAGGAGGCGCAGGCGACGGCGGGGGCACACCCGGCGCGGGGCUGGGCGGCUCCGGCGAAGGCGGCGGCGUGCCAGGCGCAGGGCUGGGAGGCGCAGGCGACGGCGGGGGCACACCAGGUCCGGGGCUAGGCGGCUCUGGCGAAGGCGGCGGCGUGCCAGGCGCAGGGCUGGGAGGCGCAGGCGACGGAGGGGGCACACCCGGCGCGGGGCUGGGCGGCUCCGGCGAAGGCGGCGGCGUGCCAGGCGCAGGGCUGGGAGGCGCAGGCGACGGCGGGGGCACACCCGGCGCGGGGCUGGGCGGCUCCGGCGAAGGCGGCGGCGUGCCAGGCGCAGGGCUGGGAGGCGCAGGCGACGGCGGGGGCACACCCGGCGCGGGGCUAGGCGGCUCCGGCGAAGGCGGCGGAGUACCAGGCGCAGGGCUGGGAGGCGCAGGCGACGGCGGGGGCACACCAGGUCCGGGGCUGGGCGGCUCCGGCGAAGGAGGCGGCGUGCCAGGCGCAGGGCUGGGAGGCGCAGGCGACGGAGGGGGCACACCCGGCGCGGGGCUGGGCGGCUCCGGCGAAGGCGGCGGCGCGCCAGGCGCAGGGCUAGGAGGCGCAGGCGACGGCGGGGGCACACCCGGCGCAGGGCUGGGCGGCUCCGGCGAAGGAGGCGGCGUGCCAGGCGCAGGGCUGGGAGGCGCAGGCGACGGCGGGGGCACACCCGGCGCGGGGCUAGGCGGCUCUGGCGAAGGCGGCGCAGGGCUGGGAGGCGCAGGGCUGGGAGGCGCAGGCGACGGCGGGGGCACACCCGGCGCGGGGCUGGGCGGCUCCGGCGAAGGCGGCGGCGUGCCAGGCGCAGGGCUGGGAGGCGCAGGCGACGGCGGGGGCACACCCGGCGCAGGGCUGGGCGGCUCCGGCGAAGGCGGCGGCGUGCCAGGCGCAGGGCUGGGAGGCGCAGGCGACGGAGGGGGCACACCCGGCGCGGGGCUAGGCGGCUCCGGCGAAGGCGGCGGCGUGCCAGGCGCAGGGCUGGGAGGCGCAGGCGACGGCGGGGGCACACCCGGCGCGGGGCUGGGCGGCUCCGGCGAAGGCGGCGGCGUGCCAGGCGCAGGGCUGGGAGGCGCAGGCGACGGCGGGGGCACACCCGGCGCGGGGCUGGGCGGCUCCGGCGAAGGUGGCGGAGUACCAGGCGCAGGGCUGGGAGGCGCAGGCGACGGCGGGGGCACACCCGGCGCAGGGCUGGGCGGCUCCGGCGAAGGCGGCGGCGUGCCAGGCGCAGGGCUAGGAGGCGCAGGCGACGGAGGGGGCACACCCGGCGCGGGGCUAGGCGGCUCCGGCGAAGGUGGCGGCGUACCAGGCGCAGGGCUGGGAGGCGCAGGCGACGGCGGGGGCACACCCGGCGCGGGGCUGGGCGGCUGCGGCGAAGGUGGCGGCGUACCAGGCGCAGGGCUGGGAGGCGCAGGCGACGGCGGGGGCACACCCGGCGCGGGGCUAGGCGGCUCCGGCGAAGGCGGCGGAGUACCAGGCGCAGGGCUGGGAGGCGCAGGCGACGGCGGGGGCACACCCGGCGCGGGGCUAGGCGGCUCCGGCGAAGGCGGCGGAGUACCAGGCGCAGGGCUGGGAGGCGCAGGCGACGGCGGGGGCACACCCGGCGCGGGGCUAGGCGGCUCCGGCGAAGGUGGCGGAGUACCAGGCGCAGGGCUGGGAGGCGCAGGCGACGGCGGGGGCACACCAGGUCCGGGGCUGGGCGGCUCCGGCGAAGGUGGCGGCGUGCCAGGCGCAGGGCUGGGAGGCGCAGGCGACGGCGGGGGCACACCCGGCGCGGGGCUGGGCGGCUGCGGAGAAGGAGGCGGCGUGCCAGGCGCAGGGCUGGGAGGCGCAGGCGACGGCGGGGGCACACCCGGCGCGGGGCUGGGCGGCUCCGGCGAAGGCGGCGGCGCGCCAGGCGCAGGGCUGGGAGGCGCAGGCGACGGCGGGGGCACACCCGGCGCGGGGCUAGGCGGCUCUGGCGAAGGCGGCGGCGUGCCAGGCGCAGGGCUGGGAGGCGCAGGCGACGGAGGGGGCACACCCGGCGCGGGGCUGGGCGGCUCCGGCGAAGGCGGCGGCGUGCCAGGCGCAGGGCUGGGAGGCGCAGGCGACGGAGGGGGCACACCCGGCGCGGGGCUGGGCGGCUCCGGCGAAGGCGGCGGCGUGCCAGGCGCAGGGCUGGGAGGCGCAGGCGACGGCGGGGGCACACCCGGCGCGGGGCUGGGCGGCUCCGGCGAAGGCGGCGGCGUGCCAGGCGCAGGGCUGGGAGGCGCAGGCGACGGCGGGGGCACACCCGGCGCGGGGCUAGGCGGCUCCGGCGAAGGCGGCGGAGUACCAGGCGCAGGGCUGGGAGGCGCAGGCGACGGCGGGGGCACACCAGGUCCGGGGCUGGGCGGCUCCGGCGAAGGAGGCGGCGUGCCAGGCGCAGGGCUGGGAGGCGCAGGCGACGGCGGGGGCACACCCGGCGCGGGGCUGGGCGGCUCCGGCGAAGGCGGCGGAGUACCAGGCGCAGGGCUGGGAGGCGCAGGCGACGGCGGGGGCACACCCGGCGCGGGGCUAGGCGGCUCCGGCGAAGGCGGCGGAGUACCAGGCGCAGGGCUGGGAGGCGCAGGCGACGGCGGGGGCACACCCGGCGCGGGGCUAGGCGGCUCCGGCGAAGGCGGCGGCGUACCAGGCGCAGGGCUGGGAGGCGCAGGCGACGGCGGGGGCACACCCGGCGCGGGGCUAGGCGGCUCCGGCGAAGGUGGCGGCGUACCAGGCGCAGGGCUGGGAGGCGCAGGCGACGGCGGGGGCACACCCGGCGCGGGGCUGGGCGGCUCCGGCGAAGGAGGCGGCGUGCCAGGCGCAGGGCUGGGAGGCGCAGGCGACGGAGGGGGCACACCCGGCGCGGGGCUGGGCGGCUCCGGCGAAGGCGGCGGCGUGCCAGGCGCAGGGCUGGGAGGCGAAGGCGAAGGCGGGGGCACACCCGGACCGGGGCUGGGCGGCUCCGGCGAAGGCGGCGCAGGGGUGGGAGGCGCAGGGCUGGGAGGCGCAGGCGACGGCGGGGGCACACCCGGCGCGGGGCUGGGCGGCUCCGGCGAAGGCGGUGGCGUGCCAGGCGCAGGGCUGGGAGGCGCAGGCGACGGCGGGGGCACACCCGGCGCGGGGCUAGGCGGCUCUGGCGAAGGCGGCGCAGGGCUGGGAGGCGCAGGGCUGGGAGGCACAGGCGACGGCGGGGGCACACCCGGUGCGGGGCUGGGCGGCUCCGGCGAAGGCGGCGCAGGGCUGGGAGGCGCAGGGCUGGGAGGCGAAGGCGAAGGCGGGGGCACACCCGGUCCGGGGCUGGGCGGCUCCGGCGAAGGUGGCGGCGUGCCAGGCGCAGGGCUGGGAGGCGCAGGCGACGGCGGGGGCACACCCGGCGCGGGGCUGGGCGGCUCCGGCGAAGGCGGUGGCGUGCCAGGCGCAGGGCUGGGAGGCGCAGGCGACGGCGGGGGCACACCCGGCGCGGGGCUGGGCGGCUCCGGCGAAGGUGGCGGCGUGCCAGGCGCAGGGCUGGGAGGCGCAGGCGACGGCGGGGGCACACCCGGCGCAGGGCUGGGCGGCUCCGGCGAAGGCGGCGGCGUGCCAGGUGCAGGGCUGGGAGGCGCAGGCGACGGCGGGGGCACGCCCGGCGCGGAGCUGGGCGGCUCCGGCGAAGGCGGCGGCGUGCCAGGCGCAGGGCUGGGAGGCGCAGGCGACGGCGGGGGCACACCCGCCGCGGGGCUGGGCGGCUCCGGCGAAGGCGGCGGCGUGCCAGGCGCAGGGCUGGGAGGCGCAGGCGACGGCGGGGGCACACCCGGCGCGGGGCUGGGCGGCUCCGGCGAAGGUGGCGGCGUGCCAGGCGCAGGGCUGGGAGGCGCAGGCGACGGCGGGGGCACACCCGGCGCGGGGCUAGGCGGCUCUGGCGAAGGCGGCGCAGGGCUGGGAGGCGCAGGGCUGGGAGGCGCAGGCGACGGCGGGGGCACACCCGGUGCGGGGCUGGGCGGCUCCGGCGAAGGCGGCGGAGUACCAGGCGCAGGGCUGGGAGGCGCAGGCGACGGCGGGGGCACGCCCGGACCGGGGCUAGGCGGCUCUGGCGAAGGUGGCGGCGUACCAGGCGCGGGGCUGGGAGGCGCAGGCGACGGCGGGGGCACGCCCGGCGCGGGGCUGGGCGGCUCCGGCGAAGGAGGCGGCGUGCCAGGCGCAGGGCUGGGAGGCGCAGGCGACGGCGGGGGCACACCCGGUCCGGGGCUGGGCGGCUCCGGCGAAGGCGGCGGCGUGCCAGGCGCAGGGCUGGGAGGCGCAGGCGACGGCGGGGGCACACCCGGCGCGGGGCUGGGCGGCUCCGGCGAAGGCGGCGGCGUGCCAGGCGCAGGGCUGGGAGGCGCAGGCGACGGCGGGGGCACACCCGGCGCGGGGCUGGGCGGCUCCGGCGAAGGCGGCGGCGUGCCAGGCGCAGGGCUGGGAGGCGCAGGCGACGGCGGGGGCACACCCGGCGCGGGGCUGGGCGGCUCCGGCGAAGGCGGUGGCGUGCCAGGCGCAGGGCUGGGAGGCGCAGGCGACGGCGGGGGCACACCCGGCGCGGGGCUAGGCGGCUCUGGCGAAGGCGGCGGCGUACCAGGCGCAGGGCUGGGAGGCGCAGGCGACGGCGGGGGCACACCCGGACCGGGGCUGGGCGGCUCCGGCGAAGGUGGCGGCGUGCCAGGCGCGGGGCUGGGAGGCGCAGGCGACGGCGGGGGCACACCCGGCGCGGGGCUGGGCGGCUCCGGCGAAGGCGGCGCAGGGCUGGGAGGCGCAGGGCUGGGCGGCUCCGGCGAAGGCGGCGGCGUGCCAGGCGCAGGGCUGGGAGGCGAAGGCGAAGGCGGGGGCACACCCGGCGCGGGGCUGGGCGGCUCCGGCGAAGGUGGCGGCGUGCCAGGCGCAGGGCUGGGAGGUGCAGGCGACGGCGGGGGCACACCCGGCGCGGGGCUGGGCG
rnacentral:lncRNA from 1 species